GAUGAACGCUGGCGGCGUGCCUAAUACAUGCAAGUCGAGCGAACAGACGAGGAGCUUGCUCCUCUGACGUUAGCGGCGGACGGGUGAGUAACACGUGGAUAACCUACCUAUAAGACUGGGAUAACUUCGGGAAACCGGAGCUAAUACCGGAUAAUAUAUUGAACCGCAUGGUUCAAUAGUGAAAGACGGUUUUGCUGUCACUUAUAGAUGGAUCCGCGCCGCAUUAGCUAGUUGGUAAGGUAACGGCUUACCAAGGCAACGAUGCGUAGCCGACCGGAGAGGGGGAUCGGCCACACUGGAACUGAGACACGGUCCAGACUCCUACGGGAGGCAGCAGUAGGGAAUCUUCCGCAAUGGGCGAAAGCUUGACGGAGCAACGCCGCGUGAGUGAUGAAGGUCUUCGGAUCGUAAAACUCUGUUAUUAGGGAAGAACAAAUGUGUAAGUAACUAUGCACGUCUUGACGGUACCUAAUCAGAAAGCCACGGCUAACUACGUG
rnacentral:rRNA from 1 species